CUCCGCUGGCCCAACUUCUAGCUUUUGAAUUCUUCCCGAUGAGCCCUCCGUGGCAGAGACUCCUGUUCAAGGAUCAUUGUUUUAAAGCUAAAAAGGCCGUUGAAUCCAGCCCCAGAGAGGCUGUGUCUUACCUGGGACCCCUCGCUGGUAGUGUGAUGGAGUAAGAGAAGAGGCCUUCACAAGUCUCCACAGCUACAUUUGUUGAUGAGAGGUCAUUUUCCAGAAGAGGAAACUGAGGCAAACAAGGUGAAGUGAUUUGCCCAAGAUCACACAACUGGUGGCUAGGAUGCCUGAAUCCCCCAUCACCUCCGAACUGGAGAAGCCCAGUGAGUUCCAUGGCUACAGAGGAGACAGGUUCUCAUUCAGCCAUAUCUGAUUAUUUUCCCAUCUCAGAUGCUACAAAAAAAGGGGCCUUUCAAGACUGGCUGACUGAUGGGGCUCUCGCUGUAAGGGAUGGAUCAUGGAAGCUCCCACAAAGACCAGAAGGAAGGAGUAUGGCGAAAACAUAUGUCCCCUGGCAUGAGCAAGGCUAAGCUCCGAAUCCCACAGAAGUUUUUUUGGACUCUCCUUGUGGUUCAGGGAAAGGCCACGGCAACUAUUUGAAAGAAUGGAGGGACUAAUUCAUGAGGAAUGAGAUUAAAGGCACGCAGAAUGUAUUGCUUGGCCAAAGAAUGAGUAGUAGGGUGGAGAGCAGAGGAGAAGGAAGGGACAUGACUGCAGUUUUCAAGUAUGCGGAAUGGCUCCAAUUGCCAAGCCGGGAAGAGUAGGUGCUUGGUACGUUCUGAGAGGGCACAGGAAGAGGGGAAUUUAAAUGAAAAUCUGAAAACAACAUGAAGAAAACAAGUUUGGGAGAGUGUCCAAAGAACAGUGGGAGGGAAUCCACUUCAUAUUCUGGAACGUGUCAUCUUUGAGUGAUUUAGGGUAAGAGAUUUUCUACUGUCUCCUCAAUGUUGUUGACUUCUUUGAGUGAAAAAUAAAAAAUUGUGACAUCUCACAACCUGAAAAAAAAUAAUAAAAUAUCCCUAAGUGGGGCAGCUAGGUUGCAUAGUGGUUAGAACACUGAGCCUGAAGUCAGGAGAACCAGAAUUCAAAUCUGGCUUCGGACAAUUGACACUUUUCAGCUGUGUGAUCCUGGGCAAGCCACUUAACUCCAAUUGCCUUUUCAAAAACAACAGCAAAAAACAUCCCUAAGACAUGGUUCCUUUGAAUAUUAACUCUUAAAUGCCCGAGAGCAGAUCCCUUUGUACCUUUUCCACACUACUUGGGACAAUACAGUCCAAGCUUUUCAUCAAAGCACCGUUAAACUGACCAGAACAUGGAGAGGUCACCUUGUCUGUUCCUUUCCCUUCCUCCAGUAUAAUGGGCUGAAGCUCGAGUUGUUGCACUGAGGUCCCAAGCAUGUGAUGCUAAAUAGUAAUUGGACCAUCCUCUAUUAAUGGAUGCUUGGAGGAAGACUGGCCCCGCCCAUUCUUUGUGCAAGUCCUGAUGUGUUGUAUAGGAAAUGUAUAGGGAUGAUUUGGGUGGCGGAGAGAGAGGCGGAGAGACAGCUGGCCAGGUUCGUGUUGCUGCUGCUCACAUUGCUAUCGCUAUCCCUCUUCACCUCCACAAAGAAUAAAGAUCGAAGAUUUUUCCCUUAAACUGAA